rnacentral:lncRNA from 1 species
AAGACCCACCUGCAGGAAGGUGAAAAGAAGUUGAUUUGUUGGCCCUCAUGGUAUGAGAACGAGCUAAUGCUUCAGAAAUAUUUGUGUUGCAAGUGAAGAGAAACACAGUAGAAAGGAAUAAUAGCCUAGACAGAGUUGAAAGGUUUGUGAGAUGGUAAGAACAGAGACAGGUCUAUAAGUAGAGGUGAUGAACAACAACAUACAGAGACCAUGGCGGCUAUCUAUCAUUUCUCCUUUUUCCUUAAAAAUCAAAUUUGCUUCUUCAUCUUGACCACAUUUUGGGUCAGUCAAUUAUUCAAACAAGUUGUGGGCAAGCAAAACAAACAACGACUACGGCAGAAGAAUGAAAGCAUUCAACAAACAAACACCUGAAUCGAGUCAAUUCCUUCGGCAUCCAAAAUUAUUAGUUUGUGACCCUUAGAGGGUCAAAAAUAUAAGGCAAAUGCUAAAUAGUGUCCUCGGGGCACUCUUUAAGCCUUAAAUAGUAAGCUUUUUAUAGAAUUUUUAUCGGAAUGCGUAAAGUUAACGCAUUGGAAAUUGUAGUAUUUAACUUUUUGAAUAAAAAGUUUCUUUAAAUAGAAUGCUUAAAGAGUGCCCCGGGAGCACUCGUUAGCAAGACCCAAAAUAUAAUUUAGCCUUUUUUUUAGUUUGUUGUACCGCAACGUUUAAAAUUAUGUUGAUGCCGUCUACCUAUAGUACUUCUAGGAUUUCAAUACAGUUAGUGAAGUUGAGGUGAUACAGCUGUAGGCUGUAGCACACAUGAUAACUUGCNNNNNNNNNNNNNNNNNNNNNNNNNNNCUUGAAAUUUGAACAAAAAUUGUGUAGUGAUAAGAAGAAAAUGAACCACAACAGAAAAUAAGAAGUUGAAAAUGUGUAGUGUCUUGACUGUUUGCAACAGUUUCUUGUCGGUAAAAGGAUAAUUGAUAUACUCCUCCGUCCCAAAAUAUAAGCAAAAAUGAGUCGAAGAAACUUGAUGUAUUUAGUUAAAAAUUUGGACCAAAUAUAUUCACUUUUGUUGACCAACUUUUACUUAUAUUUUGGGACGAAGAGAGUAUAUGCAUGGUUCAUACACUAAAGCACGUUCAUCUGCUUGUGCACGUAUCUUAAGUGCCACGUAGGUGUGGCUUUUGUUGUUUUUCUUCUUCUUGUUUCAAACAAUCGACAAAUUAAGUGGGAUCCAUUUUAGAGUAUUUAAUGAAUUAUAUGGAUAUUUAAAAAAUGUAGUUGAGUUGUUUAAAUAAUUGAGAAGUCUGAAAUAAUAUAAAAUAUAUUAAGUGGAACACAUUUAAAGAAGCCAAAUGAAUUUGAUGAUGCGAGUGCACUAAUGACCAUAGAACUGUCGAUGAUANNNNNNNNNNNNNNNNNNNNNNNNNNNNNNNNNNNNNNNNGCAUUGAGGACCACACAAAGUGUCGGUGCAUAAUAUCUAAUAUCUUAAAACAAAAUAUUACAAAAUAAAACCAUAUAUUAUACAUGUCAACUAGAUUACCGCUUCAAUCAUCACUCAAUAAGAUGAAGUUGUCUUUAUUUGUUGGUUGGUCACUGUUCGUAACAGAACUCAAGUUUUAUCUUAAGAGAUAAAGAAAGAGGUAGAGAACUCACAUUGAUGGAUCAGUGGAAGAAAUGCUCCGAGCUGGAGGUCAGAAUCCGAACAUGGAGAUGGCCGACGAUGCAAACGAGGGGGAUGGGGGUACCUGCAGAUAACGCUCCGACUCCGAAGUCAGUAUAAGCUUAAGGUGGAGGUAGAGGUUAGAAUAAUGCAUACCUUGUGAGAUUUGUAUAUAUAAACCAAUGAACAUGACAUUGAAUCGAUGUAUUUGACAUUGAUCUUGGUUCAGUCCAAAAGUCUUGUCCAAAACAGUCACCUUUUCAUUAGAUUUUGAAACACAUUUUGUGUCUCCACUAAAUUAUCCUCCCACUGCCACAAAGCAUCAGUGAUAUACUUUAGACGUCAUAACCACAAAUAAAUCACCAAAACAUAACAAAAAUAAAUAAACAUAUUGGUAAAAAAAACUUGUUAAAAUAGAGACACUCGAAGAAAAAUGCAAGUUUUGGAUUGAAAACAUAUUACCUUAUCUUCAACUCCAAAUGAGUAUAGAAAGAAUUUGUGAAGGAGACAAUGUGAUUAAGUGUAGAUUUGAAGUGAUGGAUUUAGAUUUGCUGCAGCUAUACUCUCGACAUUCAUCUAAAGUCAAAUGUGUUUAUAAGAAAUGAAUGCUUUUUUUGAAAGGAGAGAGAAAAUAAAAUUCUAAUAAAAAAAACUAAAGAGGGGC